rnacentral:rRNA from 1 species
ACGGAAGGCAGCAGUGGGGGAUAUUGCACAAUGGCGGAAACUCUGAUGCAGCAACGCCGCGUGACGGAAGAAGGCCUUCGGGUUGUAAACUUCUGUCCUUGGUGACGAUAAUGACGGUAGCCAAGGAGGAAGCCACGGCUAACUACGUGCCAGCAGCCGCGGUAAUACGUAGGUGGCAAGCGUUGUCCGGAAUUACUGGGUGUAAAGGGUGCGUAGGCGGCUCAUAAAGUCAGAUGUGAAAUACCGGGGCUUAACUCCGGAGCUGCAUUUGAAACUUAUGGGCUUGAGUGAAGUAGAGGUAAGCGGAAUUCCUAGUGUAGCGGUGAAAUGCGUAGAUAUUAGGAGGAACACCAGUGGCGAAGGCGGCUUACUGGGCUUUAACUGACGCUGAGGCACGAAAGCAUGGGUAGCAAACAGGAUUAGAUACCCUGGUA